CGAUAUUUACCCAUAAGGAAUUUACUACUUUCGGACGCGUGGGAGUUGAUAUCCUUAUUACUUUAACAGGGCGUUUAGGUAAGGCGCGGUACAUGUAUGAAUGAGUUCUGUGAUUGGAAACAAUAGUGAACCGACAAUGGCAAUAGUCUCCCUCGCAGCCGCUCUUUGAGGAGCGAAACAAAGAACGGCUGCGACGAAGACUUGACGGCAACAGCAGAGAACAAUAUUACUCACAUUUUUGCAUUCGAGCCAAAGUCGGGGGUGGAAAAAGUAUCGGACCAUGGGCCCCAGAAACUUUUUUGAAAGAAAGAUAAUUGUAAUCAAUUAGAUAAAAGGAAAAAUCCCGGCAAAAGAUUCUAACCAUUAGAAAGAAUGUUAACUGCACUGUAGGUAUGACCUCAGAAAUUAUUAUAAGUACAUGCCAUCUUAAUGGUGCGAUAAUGUAUAAAUGAAUAGACUACAGUUCAGAAAUAUUGUAACAAAUGUUGUAUGGCAAAUGCAUUUUAGCCAAUCUGGGACACCUGAUUUUCAAAUUUUUCUGAGGAGCAUGGAUCCCCCUGAUAAUGCCCCUUAGUAGUGCCCUUUUCCCCUGUAUUUAGCUACCUUAUAGGAUCAAACCCUUGAUGCAUGUUAUCUGAAUUAGUUUUAUGUUAUAUUUCCAAACGUAUUAUUAAGAUUCUCAGUGCAUUUAAAUAUUUUCUUCUGCAUGACAUACAGUUACACUGUCCGAGUGUCGAUUUACUGGAUUAAUUGCAGAAAAUUUUCCAUGUUCUUUUGCGGUCCCAGAAUGUAAAAUAUUUUCCCACCAUACAUUACGAAACUUCCAAAUGGUCAUAAAAAUAGAGUCACGAUCUUUCAUCUUUCUCGGAAAAAUUUAUAAUAGUUUAUACCUGUAAACCACUGAUAUAAAACAUACGUAUUCUCUAGUUAUAAUCACUCCGCGCGUAUUUUCAGUUCUAAAAUUAAUGUUGUAUUUCGGCUGAUGAGAAAGAUGGUGAGUCGUCCGCCAUUUUGGAUGAAUUUUUUAUCUCAUUAACGAUAGUGACCGAAAUAUAAUUUUGGGCUCAUAAUCAUCAUUGCAUAUCUGGUAAAAUAUUUGCAUGACCCUGCUUGUGACGUAACGGUGAAUAUCAACAAUAAUCCAAGAUGGCGGACAGUUCACUGAUUUGUGAUGAUUUACUAAGCGAUAUUUGGAGAAGCUGUACAUAAUUUUAAAAAUUCUCUCAAACGAGACAAAUUACAUUUUUAUUGCCAUAUCCCUUGUUAAUGAGAUGGACUGCGAACGUCUUAGCUUCCUCAGUUCGCUAGAAAAGCUUGGCGGAUGGUUGACCAGCAAGAAGAACCAAUACAAUAGCCGGACCCACUCCAGUUGGUCACGUGCGAUCAGUAGCAGACCAGCGGUUUACCGUAUAAGGUGGUGCUUCAAAAUUACGUGUCUGUAGCACUGAUCAGCGGUCUUCAAUCACUGUCAUCGCUAUCUUCUGCAUUUGAUCUCAAGUUCGUAACCAGGUCUGGAGUGUUCUCUGAUAAAAUUCCAUUUCU